rnacentral:lncRNA from 1 species
GGGCUUUCAGAGGGGAAACCAGGAAAGGGAAUAUCAUUUGAAAUGUAAAUAAAGAAAAUAUCUAAUAAAAAAAUAAAAUAUUUUCUUACAUCGCUUGAAAGGACAUCACGCUCCUUUGAGUAGAAUGUUCCUCCACCAAGAAAUGCUUUGGCGUGUGUGAAGCUUUCUAAACGACCUGCUAAUAUAUGUGGCUGUUCCUGCCUCACUAGGACUCUCAGAUGGCAUUUACCUUGUGUCUACCAUGUGUCUGUGUUGGAGGAACUAUUACUUGCCCUCUUGAGUAUGUUCCUAUGUAGAACUAAGAUCCAAGACAGAAGCUAUUAGGAGACAAGCGGGUGUAUCUAGGGAUGACCGAAUGAGGAACAGGUGAACGAUGCCCAUGGCUGUCAGUCUGAGUUAGAGAAAAUGCCUACAGCUUCUACAGUAGAAAAUCUCCGUGGUAAGUAAAGCAGAAGGGGGAAAAAAAAAAAAACAAAGCCAAAGGACAGAGUUAACUGAGUGAUGGCGCUGUUCAAUGUAAAUGAAAAGGAGGGUGGCUGUUUAGGUGGCGCCAUAAUCUAAAUAAUUUUGGAUGCUGAUGUUGAAUCAUGGGUUAAGAGAAGAAAAAGAGUGACCUCAACAAUUUUAAGGGCACUCUUUCCAAAGUAACAAACAGGUCAAAUGAAAAGAGCUGAUGUUCAGGACACCAGCCAAGCUUAGAUGCUCACCAUGGAAGCAGGCAGCUUGAAAAAAAAGAUGUGAAAUCAUUACAAAAGAAGAAGAAGAAGAAGAAGAAGAAGAAGAAGAAGAAGAAGAAGAAGAAGAAGAAGAAGAAGAAGAAGAAGAAGAAGAAGAAGAAGCAAAAAUGAAUUUGAAAACUCAUCCUCACAAUAAAGAACUGGGGAAACAAAGGUCAAAGGUGACUUUAGUCAAUGAGUCCCUUACGAGAACACUAUACACCAGUACAGAUAUAGGCAAAGAGGUAAUUAGCCAUAUUUGGGGAAAAAAUCAUCCCAACAGACAUGGAUAUUUAUUAGCAUUGCAAGCAGGGCUCUGCUGCUCAGAAGGAAGGUCAAGGCUGAAGGUUGUUCUUGAGGAGAAAUGUUCAAGUUGUUGGAAAGCCACGGUGUGAGCAAAUAGAUCUGAGCACGGGGACACCGCAUAUGGUUUUUGCAAAGCUCAUUAAAUUAGUUAUUAGGUUUUGUUUUGUGGGAGACAGAACUGUGUUCCAGGGACAUCAUAACCACACAGCUGCUCAGAGGGAGAACUACAGCUCCAUCGGAGACCCUGGGACUUUAGUGUUCCCUUUGACUAUGUAGUUAGAGGAAGAACAAAGGCUGAGACUAAGCAGAAAGUCAGAGUCCACCAGGGCACCAGUGUACAGGCUGAGAAUGCAGCUCCUGUUACUGGCUUCUUUGCUUUGCUUUCUGCUUCUUUUGUAACUGAACUGCAUAGUACGGGUUGUGUUACUCUCACUUCUUACAAAAUAAUUCACAGUUGUCUUAUUCACUGAUCUUUUAAAUUAGUCCUAAAGUAAGCAAAGUUUUUCAUAUAAACUGACAAGAGUAGUAUUAUUGGCAUCCUGCGAAUUAGCUUGUGUUGGUAUUGUAAUUGAACUUUGAUUUUAAAUGGUGCUGUAUUAAGAUAUUAGACUUUAAGAGUUGUCUGUGGCUUUCAUUCAUUCUAGUUGUUAGUUUUUGUGUGAUCUAUUGUUACUCUGUUAUACUGAUGGCCUGAGGAUGUAACACACAAGUAUCCAUGAAGCACAAAAAGGAAUUCUGAUUCUUCUUAAUAAGGGGGAUUAAACUGCCUGGGACAUUGUUAAGUUCAAAGAUCUAUAGGUGUCCCGAAGAUGAGGAACACAAUGUAGGGUCUCAGCGAUUGCUCUCGACACGAGCUCUUGGUGCCUUUGACACUUUAGCUAUCCAUGAUUUCAUUAGCUGUGGUUGUAUGUGAUGCCAUUUGUCUUUUGACUUAGAGUGGCCAGGGGGUUAAUGUCUAUGAAGCUUAAAAUGAAACAAUUUAAACAAAUAACAUCUUUGUAGGGGAAAAAAAUUAGGUCUUACAACUGUUUGAACCUGUUCUUGUUAUGGGGUUUAAGAAAACAUACUCUGUAUCCACGUGGACAACGAUUGAGCCUCAUAACAAAGAGAAGAUUAUUUUUAUGAUAAAGGAGAUGUUGUUUAAAUGUCUGAUAUAGAGGGUUUGCACUCUCUACUGGAAACGUCAAUGAAGUGAAGAAACAUUGAGAUAACAUAUUUCCAAAUGUCAGUCACUCAAAGAGAACCCAAAACAACAGGUGCCAUAUUCAAUAGGUACUAUAUUUUUUUAUUUGCUAAAACGUCUGCACAAUAAUUUGCAUAUCAUUUGGGAUCUGUUCUCAUGCCCAAGAUCUCAAGUCACCUGAGUAUGUAGUGAUAGUAUCUGUAAUGUCAAGAGACCGUGGCUUUUUGCUCCAGCAGUUCUCCCUUGGAGGCACCAGAGGGCGCCAGAGGGCACGAAGAACAGAGAGAGAAGUGCUGCCCCUCUGCACUUCACACCUCCGGAGAGCUUCCACCAUUGCUUAAAAUGUGCAGAGAAGCCUGGUGCAGCUUUCUAAUCACAGGGUUUUAGGAACCCUUGCUGCUCUGCAUUCUUAAUUGACUCUCUCUAUCUAGUGACUAAGAGGCUGAACUCAAGAAGGUCAGUAGGAGAAGAGAGCAAAAACCUCACAGGUGAUAUUUUCAUUGAUAAUGACGGACAUUGUCCAAAACUUUAAAACCCCACUUUAAUGGCUGCUCCUCCUUCCUGCCAUCAGCCCAUGCCUCUCUUCUCCAAAGUGGCCCAUAGAACUGUGUUUAAUGCUCUAAGGAAAGAGUGGCCCAUGACACAAAGUGUCUUAACAUCGCGAAGGAGGCAACACAAUAAUUACUCUAAAGCAGACUUAGCAUUUACGAGCUCUCCCCCAUUCUGAUGGAUGCUUCGCUGCUUUUAUCUCAUCAUCAACCUUGAAAGCUAUUAGGAAGGAGAUUGCCAUUUGCCAUCUGUGAUGUCCUGGCACUAACUUAAUAUUGCUCUGAAAGUUUAAUUUGCAUCAAUUUAAUCCCGCAAACAUUUAUUACUCCCAUGAAUGUUUGGUAUGGUGCUAUGGGUUAGGGGAUGCCAAGAUGAACAAUACAAAGUAUUUUACUUCAGAGGACUAAAAGUCCCCAUAAAAUGGUAAAACAAUGUAUUAGAAAGAGUAAUGCAUGCUAGAGCAGAAUAAGAGAAGGUAACAACAAAAUGCUUCAUUGUGUAUUUAUGCGUUUAUCUAUGAAUAAUGCAUCACUUGUUAUAUACCAGAGACUAUCAUGAUUUGAAUACACACCAGCUAUCUAAAUAAAUUUGGGAUCUUUUCUUACCUUCAUAAAGGUGAUUAGAUCCAGUUAUGGUAAAGAUCUUUGGCAUGGGCAUAAAUUCUGAAAAUCUACACAAAUUAGGUAAAGUGGAUUCCAUGAGAAGUGACAUUUAGAAAGGAACACAUAUAAUGAGGAUAAGAGAAAAAAUAUCCCAGGUAUACCAGACUGCUACUGUGAAGCCCCAGGAAGAGGAAACAGCCUGGCAUAUUUCAAGGAACCUAAAAAAGACCAGAAAGCUGGAGUAUAUGUGAUACACAAAGGCCAGAUAUUUUGGAGUCAUAGUUGGUUCACAUAGGGAUGAAUGAAAGAGGAAGCCAUCUGGCCACAGAAAGCCAAAAGGUUACAUAAGAGAAGGCUUGCAUACAUGAAGGAUGUGCGGGGGCCUCAGAAUAAAGCAUGCUGAUAGAACAUCUGGGUUCCCAGAUUAAAACAGAAGCAUAAGCACAAAAGUGCCUUUUUGUGUGACCUUGACUUUCACAGGUGUCAUUCAGGUGUGAGUGGAGGACAGUAACCUUCACAGGUGUCCAGGUGUGAGUGAAGGACAGUGACCUUCACAGGUGUCGUCCAGGUGUGAGUGGAGGACAGUGACCUUCACAGGUGUCCAGCUGUGAGUGGAGGACAGUGACCUUCACAGGAGUCAUCCAGGUGUGAGCGGGGAACUGCACUGUAGCAACUACUUCCUGUGUCAUCAGGCUUCCAGUACAGGUUGAAAUGGACUGCAAAAUAUGGAGCGAUUAGUGGUUUCUGAGGUGCGAAAUGGGAGUUCCGGACAUUUUCACAGGUAGACAGUGUAGUUCCAGAUCUAGAAGUCCACACUGAUAGUCGAAUUUCUUGCUCAUUGGUACAGCAGAAGGAGAAAUUUCCAUCCUUAGAAAUAGAUACUGACACCCAGGUCUCAGGGCAUGGAUACAGAAGGAGAAAGAGAUAAGAAGAUAGUUGGCAAGGUGGAGACUUUGAAUAUUGGAAACUGGUUGUAAGGACCAAGGUUU